GGACCGCUGAGCGUUAAGCUCGUAGUUGACCUUGGGCCUGGCUGGCCGGUCCGCCUCACCGCGUGUACUGGUCCGGCCGGGCCUUUCCUUCUGGGGAACCUCAUGCCCUUCACUGGGCGUGUUGGGGAACCAGGACUUUUACUUUGAAAAAAUUAGAGUGUUCAAAGCAGGCCUUUGCUCGAAUACAUUAGCAUGGAAUAAUAGAAUAGGACGUGUGGUUCUAUUUUGUUGGUUUCUAGGACCGCCGUAAUGAUUAAUAGGGAUAGUCGGGGGCAUCAGUAUUCAAUCGUCAGAGGUGAAUUUCUC
rnacentral:rRNA from 1 species